rnacentral:rRNA from 1 species
CAUUGCUUCCAGAAUAAGAUUGAGAGGUACGACCUGCCCGGUGACUUUAGGGUUAAACGGCUGCAGUACUCUGACUGUGCAAAGGUAGCAUAAUCAUUUGCCUAGUAAUUUUAGGCUAGAAUCAACGGUUAGACGAAGGAUGAGCUGUCUCCUUUUAAUUUAGCUGAACUUAGCUUUGGAGUGAAGAGACUUUAAUAAGUGAGUGGGACGAGAAGACCCUAUUGAGCUUUAACUUAGUUAAAAAUAAAGUUUUAAUAAAGUUUGGAUUGGGGCAAUUCUUUUUAUAAUAAAACAAAAGUUAAGUAUAAUGAAUUUAUACUAUAAGACCCUGAACUUAUCGGAAACAAGAAAAAGUUACCAUAGGGAUAACAGCGUUAUUUUUCUUGAGAGUACAUAUUGACAGAAAAGUUUGCGACCUCGAUGUUGGAUUAAGAUAACCUGGAUGUGCAGCAGCCUCCAAUGGUUGGUUUGUUCAACCAUUAAAAUCUUACGUGAU